AGUGAACGCUGGCGGUAGGCCUAACACAUGCAAGUCGAACGGCAGCACAGUAAGAGCUUGCUCUUACGGGUGGCGAGUGGCGGACGGGUGAGGCAUACAUCGGAAUCUACUUUUUCGUGGGGGAUAACGUAGGGAAACUUACGCUAAUACCGCAUAUGACCUACGGGUGAAAGCAGGAGAUCUUCGGACCUUUCGCGAUUGAAUGAGCCGAUGUCGGAUUAGCUAGUUGGCGGGGUAAAGGCCCACCAAGGCGACGAUCCGUAGCUGGUCUGAGAGGAUGAUCAGCCACACUGGAACUGAGACACGGUCCAGACUCCUACGGGAGGCAGCAGUGGGGAAUAUUGGACAAUGGGCGCAAGCCUGAUCCAGCCAUACCGCGUGGGUGAAGAAGGCCUUCGGGUUGUAAAGCCCUUUUGUUGGGAAAGAAAAGCAGCAGGUUAAUACCCCGCUGUUCUGACGGUACCCAAAGAAUAAGCACCGGCUAACUUCGUG
rnacentral:rRNA from 1 species